rnacentral:rRNA from 1 species
UACAGAGGUCUCAAGCGUUGUUCGGAUUCAUUGGGCGUAAAGGGUGCGUAGGUGGCGCCGUAAGUCGGGUGUGAAAUUUCGGAGCUUAACUCCGAAACUGCAUUCGAUACUGCGGUGCUUGAGGACUGGAGAGGAGACUGGAAUUCAUGGUGUAGCAGUGAAAUGCGUAGAGAUCAUGAGGAAGACCAGUGGCGAAGGCGGGUCUCUGGACAGAUCCUGACACUGAGGCACGAAGGCCAGGGGAGCAAACGGG